rnacentral:rRNA from 1 species
GACCCGUCUUUGAAGCACGGACCAAGGAGUCCAACAUGUGCGCGAGUCUAAGGGUGAUCUAAACCCGGAGGCGAAAUGAAAGUGAGCUCCUUUUGGGGGCAGGCCGAUCCCCUGUCUUGAACUCGGGGCCUUUGGCUUGGGGUGAGUGAAUUUCCCUUUGGCUGUGGGGUUGUUGAGUUUGAGGCGGCCCUUCCCUUUGUUGGGUUGGGAGAUGGGGCGCAGGCCGAGGACUUGCCAUAGUGCGGCGCGGGCAACGGGUUGUCCCUCGUGGGCAUCCUUAUCCCGAUGUCCGCCGGCAAGUACCUGAGAGCGCAGCCGUUGGGACCCGAAAGAUGGUGAACUAUGCUUGGCGAGGACGAAGCCAGAGGAAACUCUGGUGGAGGUCCGAAGCAGUUCUGACGUGCAAAUCGAUUGUCAGAGCUGGGUAUAGGGGCGAAAGACUAAUCNAACCAUCUAGUAGCUGGGUUCC